AACGCUGGCGGCGUGCCUAAUACAUGCAAGUCGAGCGAACAGAUGAGGAGCUUGCUCCUCUGACGUUAGCGGCGGACGGGUGAGUAACACGUGGAUAACCUACCUAUACGACUGGGAUAACUUCGGGAAACCGGAGCUAAUACCGGAUAAUAUAUUGAACCGCAUGGUUCAAUAGUGAAAGACGGUUUUGCUGUCACUUAUAGAUGGAUCCGCGCCGCAUUAGCUAGUUGGUAAGGUAACGGCUUACCAAGGCGACGAUGCGUAGCCGACCUGAGAGGGUGAUCGGCCACACUGGAACUGAGACACGGUCCAGACUCCUACGGGAGGCAGCAGUAGGGAAUCUUCCGCAAUGGGCGAAAGCCUGACGGAGCAACGCCGCGUGAGUGAUGAAGGUCUUCGGAUCGUAAAACUCUGUUAUUAGGGAAGAACAAAUGUGUAAGUAACUAUGCACGUCUUGACGGUACCUAAUCAGAAAGCCACGGCUAACUACGUG
rnacentral:rRNA from 1 species